rnacentral:rRNA from 1 species
AGUGGCGGAAGGGCGAGUAAUGUAUGGGUAACGUACCUCUUGCACGAGGAUAGCCGCGGGAAACUGCGGGUAAUACUCGAUGCUGUCCUAGGGUCAUAUGACCUCUGGAUGANAGGCGGGGAUCUUCGGACCUGUCGGCAGGAGAGCGGCCCAUAUGCUAUCAGCUAGUUGGUGAGGUAACGGCUCACCCAAGGCGACGACGGCUAGCGGGACUGAGAGGUUGGCCCGCCACAUCGGGACUGAGACACUGCCCGGACCUCCACGGAGGGCUGCAGUAACGGAUAUUGGGCAAUGGGCGAAAGCCUGACCCAGCAAUGCCGCGUGCAGGAUGAAGCCCCUAGGGGUGUAAACUGCUGUCAGGGGUCAGAAAGCUGGUUUCGGCCAGUUGAUCAACCCCAGAGGAAGUCACGGCUAACUUCGUGCCAGCAGCCGCGGUAAUACGAAGGUGGCAAGCGUUAUUCGGAAUCAUUGGGCUUAAAGGGCACGCAGGCGGAGCAGUGUGUGUUGUGUGAAAUCCCCCGGCUUAACCGGGGAAUUGCACAGCAAACUGCUGUUCUUGAGGCAGGUAGGGGUGCAUGGAACUCUUGGUGGAGCGGUGGAAUGCGUAGAUAUCAAGAGGAACGCCAGAGGUGAAGACGGUGCACUGGGCCUGUCCUGACGCUGAGGUGCGAAAGCGUGGGGAGCGAACGGGAUUAGAUACCCCGGUAGUCCACGCCGUAAACGAUGUCUACUAGGUCGUGGGUGUUCUGACACAUUCACGGCCGGAGCAAAAGUGUUUAGUAGACCGCCUGGGGAGUACGGCCGCAAGGUUAAAACUCAAAUGAAUUGACGGGGGCUCACACAAGCGGUGGAGCAUGUGGAUUAAUUCGAAGCAACGCGCAGAACCUUACCUGGGUUUGACAUGCUUGUAUGCCUUCUCUGAAAGGAGUUAGGCUGCCUUCGGGUGAAACUUGCACAGGUGCUGCAUGGCUGUCGUCAGCUCGUGUCGUGAGAUGUCGGGUUAAGUCCUUUAACGAGCGAAACCCUUGCCGUUAGUUGCCAGCGAGUAAUGUCGGGGACUCUAACGGGACUGCCGGUGUUAAACCGGAGGAAGGUGGGGAUGACGUCAAGUCCUCAUGGCCUUUAUGCCCAGGGCUUCACACGUGCUACAAUGGCAAUUACAGAGCGACGCGAUACCGCGAGGUGGAGCAAAUCGCAAAAAAAUUGCCUCAGUUCGGAUUGCAGGCUGGCAAUUCGCCUGCAUGAAGUCGGAAUCGCUAGUAAUCGCGUAUCAGCAAUGACGCGGUGAAUGUGUUCCUGAGCCUUGUACACACCGCCCGUCAAGUGAUGGAAGCCGGGAGUGCCCGAAGUCGGGUUGCUAACCUUUGGGAGGCGCCUGCCGACGGUAAGUUCGGUG